CUGGGGAGGAGGGUCCAGAAAACCUAUGGCUCCCUCAGAAGUGGAACAACGGCCUGAUGGGCCACUUGCUGGGCACCAGUACUGGCCCCAGUCAUCCCGCCCGUGUUCUGUCUCUUGACCUCCCUAGCCAUCCCUGUUCCUCCCCACGGAGGGAGCAUGAGAAGGCACACCCCUCUGGACAGUCCCUGUGGCACUCAUGGCCUAGGGCUGUGAGUCAGUUGGGGUCAGCCCAGGCGCCUGUCCAUACUGCUUCCAGACUCAGGGAGGAGCCAGGCAGAGCCCGUAUCUCUCUGGGGCUGUCCCCAGGGUUGUGGGAUAGACCUGUUUAAAGAGGCAUCUGCUGUGUGCCACCCCUUGUAGCUUUAGGAAUUGUUUGCUUUUGUCCUAAGGAUCUCUUGAGAAGACCGGAUGAACCUCAACCUGAGGGUCACCAGCCCUUGGGACAUGGGGGCAGGGACAGGCACUGUAGAGCCACCAGUUCCCUGGGGCCUACCGUGAGUCAGGCCUGAUAAAGAAAGUGCAGGCCAGUGCAGGGGAGGGCCCCCUCUGUCCUCUCUGCACAGACCCCUGUCCCAAGCCACACAGACAGCGAGCCUUGUGCAACUCCUGGCCUCCUGCAGAGCCCCAGCCUGUCUUUGACCCACAUUGUCUCCUUUCUCCAGGAAGGCAGCUCUCCCCCCAGGAGGCCUGAGCAGCUCAUGCCCUCACCCAGCACGGCCCAGGCUGGAGGAUCUUGCCCAGGGUAGAGCCGGUCCCCCUCCAAGGGCACAGUUAGCACCUCUGGAGACACACUGGAGAGGGUGCUAUGGGCAUCUGUUAAGGUAGAGGCCAGAGAUGCUGCUACAGGUCUCACACCACCACCAAGAGGCACCUGGCCUCCAAUGUCCACAGUCAAAGCCCUGGCAGCCUGCAUGGCCAGGGGAGGGUUGGGAACAGGCCCGACAGUGGGGAGGAACACCCCGCUCCCUGCCCUCCUCCCUGCAUACCAGCUGUGGUGUCCCCCACAGGCUAUGGGGGCUCCAGCCACCUCAGCUUCCAGGAGCUCGGGAGCAACCUGGGGGCUGCUGUCCUGGGGACCCCUCGCCUGUCACUAACGGGGAGGACUGGGACAGGCUCCAGCAGGAGCCCACCGUCGGUAGGUUCCGAGGUGGAGGGAAGUCUCUGCCCUCAGGAACCACCAUCCCAAGAGGGCCUGCCACAUCCCAAGAGGGCGAGUCCCUCACUGUGGCCACCUGCAGGCUGUACCCCGUCCUAGAGUGAGGUGGGAGCUCCACAGAGGGGCUGAGGCCCAAGUAGGGAAAGGGCAUUCGGGCAGAGGGGCA
rnacentral:lncRNA from 1 species